CAGAAAUCUCAGAGCCAAGUUGAAUGUGACUUGAAACAACUUCCCUUGCCCCCAGGUUUCUGGGGUUCCUGAACAAGGUCUUCUGUCCCUCAGGGUGUUGGAGGCUUCAGGACCAGGAGAAAAAACAAGCUGAAGCCCUCUCAGGAGUAAGGUUGAGAAGCUCUUCAGGCUUGCCUUCUGCAAAUCGUUGGACAGAAACUUUAACUGCAGAUAUGGAGAAACUGUGCUGAGAACCCUGUGAUUCUGAUCAUCCCCAACAUGAAGAAAUGCAUUUGAAGAUCUAUUACUCCGAGGUUCUUUCUGUUCUUGGAAUGUGCCACAUCCAUCCCACCACAGCAUGGCACUGCCUGUUCUCUCUCCCUGGAACAGUGCAUCCAGGGGCACCUACUUCCUGUUACUCAGUCUCGGAUCAACGUCAUUUCCUCUGAAAGCUGCUUCUGACCCCCACGCUAACCUGCUCUCACCCCUUGAGUCUCUAGCACAUCUUGUGUUUUAUUUUCUUCACAUUAUUGAAGACUUUCUGAAAUUAUAUUGCUAAUGCCUUUAAAUGGUUGAUUAUCGGUGUCCCUCCUGUAGAGUGUCAGUUUCGCGAUCACGUGUGUGUUCUUUGCUGCUGCAUCUUUACUGUCUGCUGUCUGUGCCUGGCCCACAGUCAGGUGCUCAGUACAUGAUUAAAUAUGUUGCGGAAACUAAGAACACAGAAAGGGAAAACAGACAGAAAGGAGGUUUGAAUAGAUCUCCGUUAUAUUCAUGGAUAUGCGAUGCAUAGUCUUUCCUCAGUUAUUAAUGAUUUGUGGAUGGAAACAACCUACAAAAGAUUUCAAUUUUAUUUUCCCUUUCCCUGAAUAGGAACACUGCCCAGUGCUGCAAAAUAAGAUUGUGUUUGUCUACACCCAAUUUCCAAGUAGUUUAAAUCCUACUUUUGGUAUUUAUGCCAUGUUGGUUUAGACCUGGCUCCUAGAAAAUACCAGGCAAAUGAAUUAGAGACCCCAAAUAGUUCAUUACAGUUAAGACUUAACAGUUCUUUCUUAAGAUAAUUGGGAUCCAAUGAUAAUAAUUUUCUAAAUCUUUAUGUUAUGUCAACAAGAACUGUUUUUUGAAAGUGGGCUCUGAAUCUGUUGUGUGAACCGGAGCUGCGUAAAUUUAAGCAGUAAGUUCAUCCUUGGUGAGGCGUAGCCUGCUUUAGUCACAAUAGCUGCACUGAGCAGAGGUUGCUGGUAUGAUGAUUAAUUCUGCAAAUAGGUGAAGGGAAUUAAGAUCCUUGUUUCCAGGCUGCUGUCACUAAACCUUGAGUGGUGGUGGUGAAGGGAGUCAGAAGAUGGCUGCUGUCCCCAGUGGAAACACCACUGGAGUAGACCUCUCAAUGCCUCAGCCUUCCUAGUCUGU